CUGACGUGUCUCAGCACAUAAUCACAAAGAGCCAAGCACGCAUGAGUCAGAAGCAGUUAUAUCCCUAAGUCAUAAAGCAGCAGCUGGGCCCAAGAUUCCUGGCAUCCUUCCAAUCUCACCUCCCCCGCCCUAUUUACCCAGGAGCAAAAGAAGCGGAGGGAAGCAACACAGCGCAGCGUGACUACGUGCUUGAUCUGUCUCCUCCUAACGGGCAUGCAGGCAACCCAGGUGCCUUAGGUAAGUGACCCCAUUCCCUGCCCUGCCUUGGAGGGCCGGAUGAGUCAAAGAGUAAUCUUAUCCCUCUGCUAGUGAGUACAAAUGAAGUCUGUGGGCCAACAAGGAGCGAGGAGCAGUUUCCUGGAAGCCCUGGGCUGGUGUUUGACUUGCUUUGAGAUAGAAUAAAUGGGAGAAAGAGACUUUAUGGGACAUCUGGGCCUAGGGCUCCUGGAUGCUGUGCUGAAAACACCACGUACAGAAGCCAGUCUAACCUUCUGGAUGAUGAGAGCCCAGAUGCAGUACAGAGGUGCCCCAGCCAACAAUCAGCUGCUAUCUGAAUCCCAUCUGGAUCCCAUCUGAAUCCCAUGUCACCAUGAAUGAGGCCACCUUAGCCCAGCCAGCACAGCUGAAAGCCAGAAGCAGCCGCAUGCACAAGCCCAGGGGAAGCCCACAGAGGAACCACCAGCCAACACACAGAAUUGCAAGCAAACCCCAGCUUUUAAGUUGGUCUCCGCAGAGGACAACUGCAUUCUCCAGCCUCCUGUACAGCAGAGAGUGCCAUGUGACUAAGACCAAGUUCUAACCAGUGGGAUCAAAGCAGGGAAGUGUUGCCUUCUUUGCCCCUUCCUGCUGGCUGGAAUAUGACAAAACGGCUGCAGCAUGAGCAACCUUCUUGGGCCCUGAGGUGGAAGCCACCUGUUGGUUGACCGACCAGAUGGUGGAGUGACCAGAUAGAAGGGGCCUGGUGAUUGUGGAUUCUGCCACACUACCUCUGGUCCCCUAUACCUAUGUGAAAGGAAAAGAAAUGUCUGCCAUGUUCGUGUGUGUGUGUGUGUGUGUAGUGUGUGUGUGUGUGUGUGUGUCUGCCAUGUUUAAGCCACUAUAACUUUGGGAUAUCUGUGGCUUAUAGUCAAAUCUAAUCCAAACAAAUGCACCUCUAUGUCCCCCUCACAGAUAAGAAGAUUGAUGCAAGGGAACCCCUGAUGUGGCCAUAACACAAAGAUAGCUUCAACCACCACCGAUACGGAGCUGGACUCCGCCCUUCCUGGCCUCCUGGCCUUUUAUUCCCCGCUAAUUCCUCUGGAUUCCUAAUGACUCCCAUUCCCUGCAUGCACACCAGGUACAGUCACAUCUCCUGGCGUUUACUCUUGCCAUACCCAGUGUCCAGCUUC
rnacentral:lncRNA from 1 species